GUCCUGUUUGCAUUGGGCACAUGGAGGAAGAUAACGCAUGGAAUAUAGAGUUUAUUUUCAUUCCUUUGCAGAGCUCACCUGGAUCAAGUCUGACCAAGGAAUGGAUGGAAGGUCAGCGAUGUGAUUUCAGGAUCUUCCUUCCUUCCCAGGAGACAGCACCAGAGAUUCCAGGUGAAAUGGCUUUGGAGGCUUCUCCUAUUGCAGAACCAAUACACAAAAUCAGAGCGGAAUAGGAUCACCCCCUGCCUCUCAU